UGGGCCCACACAAAAAAUCCAUCGCGUCGUCACCAUCGUCGCACAAAAAUCCCCAUCUGCGCGGGCGCGAUUCACCCAGGCCACACCGCCGCCUCCACCCACGCUGCACGCCGCCGUUGACUCCGCCCACCGGCGUCCUGCGCCCCUGCGCCCGGCCGAUUCCUCCUCCUCCUUCUGUCCGUCCGCCGCCGUCCGUCCGUCGCCUGCUGACGCCUCCCCUCCUCGGCCAUCGACUCCGCCCGCCGGCUUCCGCUGUGGGCUCCUCCCGUUGCUGGGCUGGAGGAUCGGGAUGGUAGCGGCGGCGGCGACGGCGCUCAACGCCCUCGUGGCGCUCGGAUCCGCCUCGGGGACGGCGUCCAAGUCGUCCUUCGUGAAAUCCAUCGUCAAAGCCCACGAUGUCGUCAUCUUCUCCAAGUCAAAAUCGGAAGGGCUGCUGAAAUUGUUCUGCUAAAGAUGUCACUUGUCCCAGAAAUUGUCCAUUGAAGAGUUUUUUGCUGAUGCUCUUGUAGACUUGUCCAUUAAAGAUGUCACUUGUCCUAGAAAUUGUCCAAUGAAGAAAUUGUCCAUUGUCCAUUGAAGACUUGUCUGUACUCUUGUGUGCAUAUGCUCUAUGCAGAUGCAUAUAUAUAUUGCUAUCCUAGGUGCAACAGAACUGUUUUUUUUUUUACCUGAGAUGCAACAGAUGUUGAAUGCAUAUUGAUAGUCUAUGGAGUCUUGAAUUGCUGAAUGUGUGUUAAAUGUCUAUGGAAUUUGUACUGAUUUUGUGGGUUGAUUUGGUACUGAUCUUAAUUUGUGUA